rnacentral:tRNA from 1 species
GGUUGGAUGCUCUAAUGGUAGGGCAGCGGGCUGUAACCCCGUGGCUUCGGCAAGUAGGUUCGAUCCCUACUCAACCCA